rnacentral:rRNA from 1 species
UACGAAGGGGGCUAGCGUUGCUCGGAAUUACUGGGCGUAAAGCGUGCGCAGGCGGCUAUGCAAGACAGAUGUGAAAUCCCCGGGCUCAACCUGGGAACUGCAUUUGUGACUGCAUGGCUAGAGUACGGUAGAGGGGGAUGGAAUUCCACGUGUAGCAGUGAAAUGCGUAGAGAUGUGGAGGAACACCGAUGGCGAAGGCAGCCCCCUGGGCCAACACUGACGCUCAGGCACGAAAGCGUGGGGAGCAAACAGG